GAUGAACGCUGGCGGCGUGCCUAAUACAUGCAAGUCGAGCGAACGGACGAGAAGCUUGCUUCUCUGAUGUUAGCGGCGGACGGGUGAGUAACACGUGGAUAACCUACCUAUAAGACUGGGAUAACUUCGGGAAACCGGAGCUAAUACCGGAUGAUAUUUUGAACCGCAUGGUUCAAAAGUGAAAGACGGUCUUGCUGUCACUUAUAGAUGGAUCCGCGCUGCAUUAGCUAGUUGGUAAGGUAACGGCUUACCAAGGCAACGAUGCAUAGCCGACCUGAGAGGGUGAUCGGCCACACUGGAACUGAGACACGGUCCAGACUCCUACGGGAGGCAGCAGUAGGGAAUCUUCCGCAAUGAGCGAAAGCCUGACGGAGCAACGCCGCGUGAGUGAUGAAGGUCUUCGGAUCGUAAAACUCUGUUAUUAGGGAAGAACAUAUGUGUAAGUAACUGUGCACAUCUUGACGGUACCUAAUCAGAAAGCCACGGCUAACUACGUG
rnacentral:rRNA from 1 species